UAGGGAAUCUUCGGCAAUGGGGGCAACCCUGACCGAGCAACGCCGCGUGAGUGAAGAAGGUUUUCGGAUCGUAAAGCUCUGUUGUAAGAGAAGAACGAGUGUGAGAGUGGAAAGUUCACACUGUGACGGUAACUUACCAGAAAGGGACGGCUAACUACGUGCCAGCAGCCGCGGUAAUACGUAGGUCCCGAGCGUUAUCCGGAUUUAUUGGGCGUAAAGCGAGCGCAGGCGGUUAGAUAAGUCUGAAGUUAAAGGCUGUAGCUUAACCAUAGUACGCUUUGGAAACUGUUUAACUUGAGUGCAGAAGGGGAGAGUGGAAUUCCAUGUGUAGCGGUGAAAUGCGUAGAUAUAUGGAGGAACACCGGUGGCGAAAGCGGCUCUCUGGUCUGUAACUGACGCUGAGGCUCGAAAGCGUGGGGAGCAAACAGGAUUAGAUACCCUGGUAGUCCACGCCGUAAACGAUGAGUGCUAGGUGUUGGGUCCUUUCCGGGACUCAGUGCCGCAGCUAACGCAUUAAGCACUCCGCCUGGGGAGUACGACCGCAAGGUUG
rnacentral:rRNA from 1 species